rnacentral:rRNA from 1 species
UGAGGAAUAUUGGUCAAUGGACGCAAGUCUGAACCAGCCAUGCCGCGUGCAGGAAGACGGCUCUAUGAGUUGUAAACUGCUUUUGUACGAGGGUAAACCCGGGUACGUGUACCCGGCUGAAAGUAUCGUACGAAUAAGGAUCGGCUAACUCCGUGCCAGCAGCCGCGGUAGUACGGAGGAUCCAAGCGUUAUCCGGAUUUAUUGGGUUUAAAGGGUGCGUAGGCGGUUUGAUAAGUUAGAGGUGAAAUCCCGGGGGCUUAACUCCGGAAUUGCCUCUAAUACUGUUGGACUAGAGAGUAGUUGCGGUAGGCGGAAUGUAUGGUGUAGCGGUGAAAUGCUUAGAGAUCAUACAGAACACCGAUUGCGAAGGCAGCUUACC